GACGAACGCUGGCGGCGUGCUUAACACACGCAAGUCGAACGGAAAGGCCCUGCUUGCAGGGUACUCGAGUGGCGAACGGGUGAGUAACACGUGGGUGAUCUGCCCUGCACUUCGGGAUAAGCCUGGGAAACUGGGUCUAAUACCGGAUAGGAGCCAUUUUCAGUGUGAUGGUUGGAACGCUUUUUCGGUGUAGGAUGAGCUCGCGGCCUAUCAGCUUGUUGGUGGGGUAAUGGCCUACCAAGGCGGCGACGGGUAGCCGGCCUGAGAGGGUGGGCGGCCACAUGGGGACUGAGAUACGGCCCAGACUCCUACGGGAGGCAGCAGUGGGGAAUAUUGCACAAUGGGCGCAAGCCUGAUGCAGCGACGCCGCGUGGUGGAUGACGGCCUUCUGGUUGUAAACUCCUUUCGCUAGGGACGAAGCUGUUGUGACAGUACCUAGAUAAGAGACACCGGCUAACUACGUA
rnacentral:rRNA from 1 species